rnacentral:tRNA from 1 species
GCACCCGUAGCUCAGCAGGAUAGAGCGCUGCCCUCCGAAGGCAGAGGUCAGAGGUUCGAAUCCUCUCGGGUGCGCCA